rnacentral:rRNA from 1 species
UGAUCCCUACGGGGGGCAGCAGUGGGGGAUAUUGCACAAUGGGGGAAACCCUGAUGCAGCGACGCCGCGUGAGCGAUGAAGUAUUUCGGUAUGUAAAGCUCUAUCAGCAGGGAAGAAAAUGACGGUACCUGACUAAGAAGCCCCGGCUAACUACGUGCCAGCAGCCGCGGUAAUACGUAGGGGGCAAGCGUUAUCCGGACUUACUGGGCGUAAAGGGAGCGUAGACGGCAGUGCAAGUCUGAAGUGAAAGGCAAGGGCUCAACCAUUGGACUGCUUUGGAAACUGUGCUGCUCGAGUGUAGGAGG